GUUAUUUUGGACUACGCUAUUAGUCUAAGUCCUUCAUUGGACUACGUUAUCUGGGUCAAGACACCUACGGAUACUCCUCUAGUCUGUAGCUCUGUC
rnacentral:sRNA from 14 species